CGGAGUAUAGCACGGGGGUGGCACAAAAGAGACGAAGAGAUCGUGUGCGUGUUCAGUGUCCGCUGACCCCGCGUCGCCGUCGGCCACCUGUAGCGGUCUUCGUCCGCCGGCUGCCGCCGGCCGCCUCCAGCGGCCUUCGUCCGCCGGCCGCCUCGCCCACGAAGCGUGCCUACCGGGGUGUCGCCGCACGGGGGCCGCUAGGGGGUGGUCACAUGCCUGGCUACCUUCUCGCUAAGAGACAUCUCUAAUUAGUGCGACCAGACAAAACGCCAAGACCUUACUUGUUCCGUAUAAAGCUACCGGCCCAACUAGUGAAACUACCAACACUCCAUCUUUGGACCAGAGGUAACACCUAUAUAGUAAAACACCCCGUCGAACCCGUACUAGGUCGAUCCCACCUCAACAUGACCAAUGAAGGACCUUUUGUAAACGUACUACCCGAAGCGUAUUAAGUCUCACUACGACUAUGAGACUACUACUCACAGCAACAAGGGUUUAAAGUCAUAAAGGUUGACAUACACCUGGUUUUUAUAAAUAGCCUACUAUAGAUACAUUAACCGAGAGGUUGUAACGGUCACCAAGAAUCGGGAGCUUGUCUCUAUUUGCACGGUUAUAAAACACUACUACGACGGUCGGGUUUAUCAUCCGCUUCCACGUUCCAGUUUCGUCAGUUCCCUUUAAACGUUUUGACAAAGAGUGGGUUAUGUUUUCCGUCACCUCUAUUUCUAUUCCUACUGAGCCUACUGUCACUAUCGUUAAUACCGCUGUUAAACCAACUGAGCCUAUUACUUAAGCUGUUCCUACUACUACUAGAGAAGCGUAUCACCCAACUACUUUUAAUACUCCUACACUUUCCUUUCUUCUUCCGCCUUUUAAAACUAUCACUAAUACUGUGCCUACUCGAACUAGACGGUCGGAGCCUGACACUAAUACUCGGUCUCCAUCAACUACUUCUUAGUUUUCUUCUUCUACGUCUUCUAUUGUUAUUCUUCUUUUUCUUCUUUUUCUUCUCCCAGUUUGACUCUCGAAAGUCUGGUCUUCUUUACGUUCGAGGUUUGAAGUGAAAUCCCUACAGUAAAAGAAGUCAUCAACUCGACUCCUCCCGUUAAGUUUUAAUAUAGUAUGUUCUCUCUCAACUUUAUUUUAUACGUUUCUUACUAAACGUUUCUCACUCCCGAGUGACACAUCUUCCUACGGGAACCAUAAACAAACGUCGUGGACUAUCGUCCUGAUUUUUAAAACAACAAUUUUGAAUACACCCGUGAGUGUGUACGUCAUUUCUCACCCUGUAGUUUGUUAAGUGACGAUUUAAGAAUCGACGUAUAAUGUAACUUUGAAAAUCCCGUCUACUGUUCUACUGUGAUAGUUUAAAACCUUCUAACCACGCCUUUCUAAUACGGAACAUCUCUACUUUCUAGUACCGUUUUCCAGUUGCCUUAACUUCACUCUGGUGGAGUCAUACUUUUUGUACAACCAUCCGGUAGAUUCUUCUCUUCUGUUUUAGGACAACUCUACCUUCUUCCCCGUUUCUACUCAUCUGUACCGUGAUAUAGGGUAACGUCACACACGUUAAGUUAUCUCGUGUUGUUUUCUUUCACGGGUUUAUUUCCAGUUGUUCCCGUUAGUGAGUCACAACUAUUCUCUGGUGUUUGUGUUCCUCCUGUCUUCUCCUUCGAUCUUCACUUCUCUUUGUAAGAAUGUGAUCAUGUUGUUGUAAAACAAAGAGAUAAAUCAUCAAUCGAGUAAAGUAAAAACGUUGAUAACGAGUAUGAGAUAAAUAUCCUUAGACCAUGUUGUUCACAACCUGUAUCCUUCGUUGCGUGAGUUUGAUGGCACGAACUUUGUGAGGAAGAGGUUCGAGUUCGUAGCGUCGUUAGGGUACACAGUGGUCCGGGAUAAGGUCUUAGGCGGAAGUAACGAGCGUUGUCUCUACGAAACGUCGGGUGAUGUCGAUGGUGUAGGUGACAACCGAAUUUCUUCUUCGUUUUCUUCUCCCAAUGUUUCCGGUCAUAGUGACUUAUAUUCACUUGUACAAGAGUGAAACCUGUCUCUCGAAAAACCUGUCUGUUGUCGAGAUAAAACCUAUCAUAAAUCUACUACGGUCGAUCCACAACUUCAUUUGGAGUACGUACACAACGACACCCAAAUAGACGUGGAAGUAUACACGUAAAACUCCAAGAGUACAUUAUCUUUGGAUUUAAUGAUCGAAAAUAAAGCUCGUGGUACAUUAGGUGAUAAUCAAUAUACAUGGGUUACGUGAAGCAUAAUGACAACACUUACACCGGUUACGAUA
rnacentral:rRNA from 1 species